rnacentral:siRNA from 1 species
UUAGAAUAUGUUUUUCCUAA